rnacentral:tRNA from 1 species
UGUUAUAUAGCUCAGUGUUAGAGUGCUUGCCUGGGAUGCACAAGGUCCUGGGUUCAAUUCCCAGGACAGCAA